ACCUCGGCAAUGCAAUUGGUCAACACGCGCUCCCUGGAAGGGUGAGACGCGGGUUCGAUUCCCAUUUGAGAUU